GAUGAACGCUGGCGGCGUGCCUAAUACAUGCAAGUCGAGCGAACGGACGAGAAGCUUGCUUCUCUGAUGUUAGCGGCGGACGGGUGAGUAACACGUGGAUAACCUACCUAUAAGACUGGGAUAACUUCGGGAAACCGUAGCUAAUACCGGAUAAUAUUUUGAACCGCAUGGUUCAAAAGUGAAAGACGGUCUUGCUGUCACUUAUAGAUGGAUCCGCGCUGCAUUAGCUAGUUGGUAAGGUAACGGCUUACCAAGGCAACGAUGCAUAGCCGACCUGAGAGGGUGAUCGGCCACACUGGAACUGAGACACGGUCCAGACUCCUACGGGAGGCAGCAGUAGGGAAUCUGCCGCAAUGGGCGAAAGCCUGACGGAGCAACGCCGCGUGAGUGAUGAAGGUCUGCGGAUCGUAAAACUCUGUUAUUAGGGAAGAACAUAUGUGUAAGUAACUGUGCACAUCUUGACGGUACCUAAUCAGAAAGCCACGGCUAACUACGU
rnacentral:rRNA from 1 species